ensembl:lncRNA
AGACCUAUUGGAUGAGAUCCUCUGGGAAUGAGAAAGGGGGAAGGGCAUCUGUAUGUUUAACAAGUGUCCCAGCAGAUGCCCUCUCCGGGACUCUUGAUCAUGCUUAGAUCCAGGAGCCCCAGUCUGCUCCUCUGCAUGGUUCUGUGGCUCAGCCAGCCGGGGACUGCCCCUUUGCUUCAGGCUCCCCACCACUAAGGUGAGGUCAUCACGGGGGCUUCAGAGGCCCCUCAGCUGCAGCAUUCCCUGGCUCUCCUCCCCUGGUAGCUGGGAGUUGUGCCCAUCUGUUCCUGUGGAAGGCGGCUGCAGGGGGAGUCACCCUGGAGGGGCACAACUGAGAGGCGGUAAGAGAAUUGAGUUAAAUUGCACCCCCACCCUUUGGCUGCAGACUAUGUAGGCGAGAGAAACAAAGGGGAAGUGGAGGCGGCGUCUCUCAGCCCUUUCCCUGAAGGCUCCCACUGAGUUUGCUCCUUCUGAAGUCGGUCCUGGCUGCCCUCCCGAUGCUCAGCGCUCACCCACACCGGCCUUCCUCUUCAACAACGCCUGCCAGAAGACUCAUUACUCUGCUUCUAAUAUGUGACUGGCCAGGGGCCAGGAUCUGGCUACCAACUGACUGAUUAACCGCUUAGCCAGAGCGACGGCUUCCCCGUCCACAAGCAGCAGCUAGCAGCUCCUCUCUGCCCCGUGGGUUGCAAAGGAGCCUCCUGGCCCGUCUUGAUCUGGGCAUGGCUAGGGGCUGCUCUGGCUGUGGGCUUCAAAGUCUUCUUGGCUCCAUUCUCUGAGUGUCACCACUUUCCUACUUGUUCUUUCCCUUCCUCUUCUUUCUCUAUUCAUCUUCAAUUCCUUCUAUUGUUAUUUCUCCCCAUCCCACCCGUCAAUCCAUUGUUCACAUCUAUACAUAGACACACUUCAUAUCACACAGCUCUAAAAUAUCCUCUUUAACCCCGUGUUCUCUUCUAGCUAUUGCUCUAGUUUUCUCUCUCUCAUCAAUAAAACUUCUUGGAACAAUUGUCUUCACAUAUUAUUUUCCAUUCCUAUCUUCCAUUUGUUUUUUUACGUACUACAACUUGCCUUCUAUCCACACUGCUCCACCCAAACUGCCCUUAGAAAGGACCCCAUGCCCGCCAUGUUGUUAAUCCAAUACUCAUUUCAGUCUUUAUGUACUUGACUUCUCAGCAGAAUUUGAUAGAGACACCUUCUCGGUCCUGAAACGGUCUCAUCGCUUGUCUCCUGUGGCAUCCCAGACUUUCUUUUCUCCCUAGCUCCUUCUUGGCUGCUUUUGUCAGCUUCCCCUCUUCUAUUUGACCCAUAAAUGUGGCAAUUUAUCUGCACUCAGCUCUGACCCUCUUUUCGUUUCUCCCUGCCUUCUCUUCCUAAAAUUUAGAGCCCAAAUGAUAUCAUUAUAGAGAAAUGAAGUUGCUUUUUCAAGAAAAUCUCUGUAGGGACUGAGAUUCAUCCCUAAAGAAAAAGCAAACAUAAAUCUUAAUUUCAAACUGUGAUAACUGCUUUGAAGGAAAAAUUUAAAUAGAGAGUCUAAUGGAGAGCCUAAUUCACACUGAUUUUUACUGGGGGAGGGGAAGGGUAGGCCUCUCUUAGGAAGUGACAUUUAAGCUGAGACCUGAAGGAUGACGAGGAGUUGGGCAGGUGCAGGGUCGAGAGGAGAAGCAAAAGUAAACAAAACAGAACAAAACAAAAAGCAGCAAAGCCUAAGGCUGAUGACAUCCACAUGUCCCCUCCAACCCAGAUCUCUGUGCUCUGGACUGUUUAUCCCUUCUGGACGUUUCCAUUUGGCUGUCUCUCAGGUAUCUCAAACUUAUUAUAUCCACAGCAGAAGUUUGGAUUUCUCUACAUGUACUUGUUUUCUCCCCACACUUGCCCCCUUCAGUAAAUGGCUUCAUUUUCCACUCAGUGCUCAAACAGAAACCCAAGAGUUCUUAUUGACUCCUUCCUUUCCCUCACUCCCUAAUCCACUCCAAUGGAAAAAUCUGUUAACGCGACCACUAAAAUACAUCGAGAAUCCAUCCACUCAUUCUACUGCCACAAAUCUAGUUUGAGCCGCCAUCUUCUCUCGCCUGGAAGACAAUAGCCUCUCAACUGCUCUCCU